GUGUUGUAUGAGAGUAAAGAAGGUUCAUAUUCCUCUUGACAAGGAAGUGUCCUUGGGUCUAACAGGAUACAUAUGGUUAAGGCAUUGUGACCUGCUUUGUGGUGGCUAACCACAGUUUUUU